GUGUAAUGCAAUGUUGACAAUAGAAAAUUAUAUUGGGAAGUUGUCAUUUCUACAGUAAAAACAGCUUUUUUUCAAGUAGUACGAAAUGUGACUUCGAUUUAUCUGUGGAACUAUUUGAACAGAAGGUAAAGCAGUAAUUUUGUUGUAUUUAGAAAGCAAACAGGGUCAUAUUUUAAAGAAAAGAGCGCACUAAAUAUAAAUUUGAGCAUCAUUAAAAUGUGUUCGCUAUGAUGCCAUUUUGUCUCCAGUAUAUACGGAGUACUGCUUUUAUACUGGUGGAUAUUCGAAUUUAUUUGGCUCAAAAACACCAUUACUUCAAUAUCCCUUUCUUGUUUUUCCUUGGAUAGGUUUUAACAAGAUAGAACUCUAGAUCACUUGGGUCCAAAAACGCUAGAUUAUAAAAUCCUGAUGUGACUUGAUACUACAAAUAGAAUAUGUCUUGUGAUGUAAUACUACAAAUAGAAUGACAAACUUCAAUGAAUUGAUAAAGUGUAAGGAUAGUGUUUAAAGUUGCUUCAUGUGUAGAAGCUGAAUUACUUUAGUUUAUACACUGUAAUGUCGAUAUCACAUGUUGAUAUGACUUUAAUACUAGCAACUUGCAAUAAGUGGUCUGUCCUGCUUGUUUAUAAUACUUUAGAGUUUGGACAUAGAACAUUGUAAUUGCCUGACAGAGACUGUUUAUAGGGCCUGUUUGUAUGGAAGCCGGGCUGGCCCGCUUAGCGAGACAGGUAGAUACGCAGGAUGAACAUAUGGUCACUUUUUAAUGAACCAAGGAAGAGUCACGCACAAAACAACAUUUAAGCAGUAUAAACAAAGAGAGAGAAGAGAAUAUUGAUUAUUGGAUGUUUAUUAAAAGUGCUAGAUUCUAUCUAAGGUAGAUACGCAGGAUGAUUUCUCUUGUGUUUAUUUGAGAAAAUUUCAUCCUGCUUACCGGGACAAUUUUGUUGUUUUGACAUUGUUUUGACAGUUGUUAAAAAUAGCUUGCGGCAGUAUCGUUGAACAUUCAUCCGGGCAACUGGGCUAGCCUGCUUGUGAUUGUUUAUAUGGAAAAAUUUCCAUCCUGGUCUCUGCAACAGGGCCUCCCGCUUGUACAUAGAAACAAUUUUAAUUAUAAUUUUUACUAUAAAAAUAAGUAGACAGUGAGAUCUCACUUACCGGGCUGUCUCACUUAGCGGGCCAGCCAGUUUCGAUAUAAACAGGCCCUUAAAAGCUGCAAGUUUCCUUAAAGCAAUAUCGUCUAUAUCACAGAAUACAGUUUCUGUAGUGACAUACUUUGUGUGUUUUCUGUCUUUAAAGUGUCUUAUGUUUGUAAUAUUUUUGUACAAUACAUUUUUGAAAUUGUUGAUACUGGUCUCAUUGUAACUCAGUUAUUCCUUCUCAAGAAAAAUAAAAAAACAAAGCUGUGUGGGUGUGUUUUUUGCUC